rnacentral:lncRNA from 1 species
AACAUAUCAUGUCUGAAAAUCCAGCAAAGAACCCACCAAUUGGUGGAAAGAUCCCUGGUCCCCAUCCAGGUCCUCCAAAUCCAGGUCCAGGCCCUCCUGGUCCGCCAGGCCCUCCAAAUCCAGGUCCGGGCCCUCCGGGUCCUCCGGGUCCCAUGAUAGGUCUUCAACAGUGUGGUUAAGAUGUGGAAGAAACCUCUAAUUCAGCAAGAGUCUUGUGUGAAUACAAGAACAGAGGAGGUGUGGGUUCUUAUUUUAUAGCAAAGUUUUUUGGUAGAAUGAAAUAUACUCUAUUCAAACAAACAGUUGAUGAAGGAGGAUAGAUAGCAACAAAGGUUCUCCAAGGCUAAUGGUUGAGCACGAGGGAGCUGCAACUACUUUUCCUCUCAUCUCCAUUCUCUCCACCAAAUGGUCAAAUCCGAAAACGUAACAAGAGGAGACGCAAACAAAGAUGAUGGAGACAGUGAUCCUGCUGUGGAUUCUUAGAUCUAGAAGCUGUGUGUGUUGGAGAUUAGAUUAGGUGGGGAAGAGAUCUUUAGGUUGUAAUAAAAAAAAGGAUGUCGUUCAAGAGUCUGAUACAGGAGAUGCGGGGAGAGCUUGGGAGUAUUUCGAGGAAAGGAUUCGGGUUUGGUAGAUCCAGGUCUCAGCGCGUGGUUCAGGACUCUUGUGUAGUCCCUGUGGAUGCUUUCAAGCAGAGCUGCUGGGCUACGAUGCCCCCUGAGCUCCUCAGGGAUGUCCUCGUGCGGAUCGAGGCUUCCGAAGACACUUGGCCCUCUAGGAAGAAUGUUGUUGCCUGCGCUGGUGUCUGCAGGAACUGGCGUGCUCUCGUCAAAGAGAUCGUCAAAGUUCCUCAACUUUCCUCCAAACUCACUUUCCCAAUCUCCCUCAAACAGCCCGGUCCCAGGGCAUCUUCUUCGCUUCUUCAGUGCUAUAUCAUCCGAAACCGCACCAAUCAAACUUACCAUCUCUACCUCGCCCUUAACCAAGGUCAAUUCAUAACACUUGCUUUGCUUUCUUUGUGAAUAAUAAUAACAACACUGAAGAGUUUGCUCUCUUUAUCUUCUUCAGCUUCUGCUUCUAAUGAUGAUGGAAAGUUCCUUCUUGCUGCCAAGAGGUUUCGGAGGCCAACUUGCACCGACUACAUCAUCUCCUUAAGCUCUGAUGAUGUCUCCAGAGGAAGCUCUUCCUACAUCGGAAAGCUUAGGUCUGUCUGUUUUUUUUAAAGUCAACUGCCUUCUCCUUUUUCAUAUAUUCUGACUUUCCUUUUUUGCAGGUCUAACUUUCUUGGGACCAAGUUCACUGUCUACGAUGCUCAGCCCACCAAUCCUGGAGCUCAGGUUACCAGAACCCGUUCAACCAGACUUCUCUCUUUGAAACAAGUUAGCCCCAGAGUUCCCUCUGGCAACUAUCCUGUCUCACAUAUCUCUUAUGAGCUUAACGUCUUGGGCUCCAGGUGAUUCUCCUUUCUUUUUUUAUUGAGAGAAGCAAAAAAAAGAUUGUUACUCUCUAACACUUGUUGUUGUACCAGAGGACCGAGGAGGAUGCAGUGUGUAAUGGAUGCCAUCCCUGCAUCAGCAGUAGAACCUGCAGGAACGGCUCCAACUCAGACCGAACUUGUCCACAGCAAUCUCGAUAUGUUCCCCUCAUUCUCCUUCUUCAGGUCUAAAUCAGUUCGUUCAGAGAGUCUCCCCCAGCCUGCUCAAAAGGAUGGGCUGCUUGUCCUCAAGAACAAAGCCCCCAGAUGGCACGAACAGCUCCAGUGCUGGUGCCUCAACUUCAAUGGGAGAGUCACUGUUGCUUCCGUCAAGAACUUCCAGCUCGUAGCUGCUCCUGAGAACGGACCUGCUGGACCUGAGCACGAGAACGUGAUUCUCCAGUUUGGGAAAGUCGGCAAAGAUGUGUUCACAAUGGAUUUCCAGUACCCUAUCUCUGCCUUCCAGGCCUUCACCAUUUGCCUUAGCAGCUUCGACACCAAGAUAGCUUGUGAAUGAACCCCACCCCACCCGCAGGCGCUGGGUUAUUUAGUUGUUGUAUCAUCAUGUUGAAAGAGAGAGAAAGAUGGGUUUGCUUUGGCCCUCUCAUUGUCUAAGAAGUGUGUGUGUACUGUACAUAUAGUUUCAAAAGUCUUGGCAAAGUCCAUACAAGGAGAGGGGGAGAGAGACUCAAAAACGAUGACAUUAGACUCUGUUUGUUGUUGUUAUUCCGUUUAUCUUUAGUGAUUGUAGUUCCACAAUCCAGACUAUAUGAUUUCAUCCCUCUGAUAAUUUUAUUUUAUUCUAAACGUUUUUUGGUAUUUUUUUGAAAAUGUAAUUCAGAUAUUUAAAAUUUCUGAUACCAAUUAUCUUACAUCGGAAGUUCCUUACAAAAACAUGAGUUAACAAUAUCGUUAACAGGAGAGGGGUCUUUAUUAUUUUCUUGUGAUGGACUCAGGGCGAGGCGAUCAAUAAUAAGAAGGAAAAAGUGGAGGUGGUGGUGGUGGCCCUCCAAAGCAAUCUCGUAGCAGCCAGCAGCAGCAGAGACAAGAUAGACUGCAAGAAAGAUUCAACAAACAUAUCUAUCAUCAACCCCUUUUAACUCUCGUACAAAUACAAUAACAAUGAACUGUCUUUUACCAGGAACAUAUCAUGUCUGAAAAUCCAGCAAAGAACCCACCAAUUGGUGGAAAGAUCCCUGGUCCCCAUCCAGGUCCUCCAAAUCCAGGUCCAGGCCCUCCUGGUCCGCCAGGCCCUCCAAAUCCAGGUCCAAGCCCUCCGGGUCCUCCAGGUCCCAUGAUAGGUCUUCAACAGUGUGGUUAAGAUGUGGAAGAAACCUCUAAUUCAGCAAGAAU